rnacentral:rRNA from 3 species
CGCAUAUGGCGGCCUCGGGUCAAUCCCGGGGCCACGCCCGUCUGAGGGUCGGCGA